AGUCGAUAAACUUUUUGCUUAGGUAAAUUGCAUGCUCUUUUCGACAAGACUAGUCAUGCUGACCCACCACACACCUCCUAGACCCCUUGAGGGCUGUCAAGUACCAAAUCAACAUUUAUUCCUUCCACGGGAGGCAUUAGAAUCGGAGGUUCCUGCAACUUAUUCUUUUUUCAUUUUUCCAUGCCCCUUGGCAGUCAUCAUUCCACCUGACCAUUGAUUUCUUUUUUUUUUGUUUGUUUUUGGUUCAGGCGUUUCUUGCACUGUUUUUUUUUUUUUUUUUUUUUGCAGGAUCGACCUCGAUUCCUCUUAUCCGCUCAUAAUAAGCCUCGGCAGCUUACCGGACAGCACUCCAUAAGUGCACUGAUUCGAACUCAACGGUAUGAGUUAUCUCUA
rnacentral:lncRNA from 1 species